rnacentral:tRNA from 1 species
UUCCCUCUGGGACAAGCCCUCCUGGAAAGUCAAAUUUUCCGGUGCCGUUACACCGAGAGGGA